rnacentral:rRNA from 1 species
AUAAAGGUUUGGUCCUAGCCUUACUAUCAACUGUUUCUCAAUUUACACAUGCAAGUCUCAGCACGCCCGUGAGAACGCCCUUUCAACCUUUACCAGGCCAAGGAGCUGGCAUCAGGCUCAACCUUCUGCCCAUAACGCCUAGUCUCACCACACCCCCAAGGGUAUUCAGCAGUGAUAAAUCUUGCGUAUAAGCGACAGCUUGACUCAGUUAGAGAAAAGAGGGCCGGCUAACCCGGUGCCAGCCGCCGCGGCUACACCGUGGGGCCCGAGCUGAUAGCCAUCGGCGUUAAGCGUGAUUAAAGUUCUCACCAACUAGGAUUAAAUUAACACUUAGUAGUGAUAAGCUUGCUGUUAAGAAAAUCAUAAACGAAAGUUAUCCUAAUUAUACUUGAAUACACGACAACUA